AAGGUUUUAGCAUAAUUAAAGUGUCUGGGGUGCAUUCAGAGGAUGUGAGAUAAAGUCUUGCAAAUCUUA
rnacentral:tRNA from 1 species